GACAGAGGGUGCAAACGUUGCUCGGAAUUAUUGGGCGUAAAGGGCUCGUAGGCGGUUUGUCGCGUCGGGAGUGAAAAUCCAGGGCUUAACUCUGGACUGGCUUCCGAUACGGGCAGACUAGAGGUAUGCAGGGGAGAACGGAAUUCCUGGUGUAGCGGUGAAAUGCGCAGAUAUCAGGAGGAACACCGGUGGCGAAGGCGGUUCUCUGGGCAUUACCUGACGCUGAGGAGCGAAAGUGUGGGGAGCGAACAGG
rnacentral:rRNA from 1 species